AUGUCCGGUUUCGACCUUCAAGGCCGAUGGAUGCCCUCCUCCGUCACGGAGGAGAACGUGCUAAAGUUGAGAGAGGCUAAGUUCUUGACCGCCGAAAUUUCGCAUAGGUUGCCUGCUCAAAGGCAGGCUAUUCCUAGUCCCCAGCCCGGUGAGAGCGUAGUGUUCAUGUCUCACUUCCUUCGGGGGUUAGGCUUCCCGAUGGAUCCCUUCGUGAGGGGGCUGCUGUUUUAUUACGGGCUGGAAUUUCAUGACUUAGCUCCGGAGUCCAUCCUCCACAUUUCCUCAUUCAUCGUUGUGUGCGAAGCGUUCCUCCGUGUUACUCCUCACUUCGGAUUAUGGCUCAAGACUUUUGGAGUGGAGCCGAAGAUGAUCGAGGGACGGCACGCAGAGUGCGGAGGCGCUGUCAUAAGUAAGAAUGCUGAUGCUCCAUGGCCCGAGGGCUCCUUUCAAGAGGAGCUCGGCUUGUGGCAACGAGAAUGGUUCUAUAUCACCACUCCCAGGAGCGCCAAGUGGGUGGCGCCUCCUGCCUUUCGCUCGGGUCCCCCAUCACGGCUAGCGUCAUGGGUCAACAAAGGAUUAGAUUGGGGGUUAUCCAAAGACGUGCCCUUGUUGCAGGGCCGCAUCAGGGAUCUCUUAGAAAGAGACCUCAACCUGGUCAAGGUGACGCAGGUCAUGCUGAUUCGCCGAACACUGCCCGGCAAACGUCGCUCCCUUCGUCUGUGGGAGUUUAAUCCGGAGGGACCACGAGCUCUCCAGCAUUUUAUGGGCACAACGCCCGUGGAGAUGUAUAAAUUGUUCUUCGGAUCACAAACGAUGUGUCCGGAUUUGACCGAGGACGCAGGCCUAAGCUGCAAUCGCCCGGAUACCCAAGUAAGUAACCUUGUGCCCGGACCUACUAUCCAUAUAAUCGUCAUAAACUUGCCCCUAAAAGAGCUGUCCUUUUAA
rnacentral:rRNA from 1 species